rnacentral:rRNA from 1 species
UACGUAGGGUGCGAGCGUUGUCCGGAAUUAUUGGGCGUAAAGCGCGUGUAGGCGGCAUGGCAAGUCGGGUGUGAAAGCCCUCAGCUUAACUGAGGAAGUGCGCCCGAAACUGCCGUGCUUGAGUGCCGGAGAGGGUGGCGGAAAUUUCCCCCAAGUAGAGGGUGAAAAUUCGUAAGAUUAUGGGGGAGGAACACCGGUUGGCGAAGGCGGCCACCUGGGACGGUAACUGACGCUGAGACGCGAAAGCGUGGGGAGCAAACAGG